rnacentral:rRNA from 1 species
CACGUAGGCGGCUUUGUAAGUUAGAGGUGAAAGCCUGGGGCUCAACUCCAGAAUUGCCUUUAAGACUGCAUCGCUUGAAUCGCGGAGAGGUGAGUGGAAUUCCGAGUGUAGAGGUGAAAUUCGUAGAUAUUCGGAAGAACACCAGUGGCGAAGGCGGCUCACUGGACGCGUAUUGACGCUGAGGUGCGAAAGCGUGGGGAGCAAACA